AACGUAGGAGACAAACGUUAUCCGGAGUUACUGGGCGUAAAGGGCGUGCAGGCGGUUCGUUAAGUCUGGUGUGAAAGCGAUCGGCUCAACCGGUCAAAUGCAUUGGAUACUGGCGGACUAGAGGACAGAAGAGGCGUGUGGAAUUCCGGGUGUAGUGGUGAAAUGCGUAGAGAUCCGGAGGAACACCAGUGGCGAAGGCGACACGCUGGUCUGUACCUGACGCUAAGACGCGACAGCAUGGGGAGCGAACGGG
rnacentral:rRNA from 1 species